rnacentral:lncRNA from 1 species
UUCACAUGUUGUGCUGAUGAAUAAUAUCUUCAGGUUCACCAAUAGUCAGAGAAUAUACUUCGAUUAAACAGCAUUUGUAAAACUCAUCAUGUUUCUCUAGCCUACAAAGGCUGAAAGAGUGUGGGGUCCAUCAUGUUUUCAUAGAUUUGUGGAUGAAAACUUUGCUGCAGUCUUGGAGGCUUUACUUCUCAAUGUUUACAUUUGGUUUUACUUUGUUCACCAGGUAACAUCACAGAGGUGGUGGAUGAAGAUGAUUUGAAUGAACUGACCAGGCUGGUGUUGUUCACUGCACCCACUUCAGAGGCAGCUGGAUUAAAGAUUUCUCGUGGUCUGAAACUUAUGAUGCUCAAUUUUGGCUCAAGAAGAAUGACUCAAAGGCUGUGAAGAUGAUGAAACAGGAAGAAGACUUUGCGUGUACCUUCAUCGAAGAAGCAAACUGCAAAGUAACCAUCAUAUUUAUCAUAUUGAUAUAAAUCACUGCAUAAUCAGAUUUCACUGAGAGACUGAGUGAUUGCAAUGUAUGUGUAUCAGUAGAUUUAUGUGCAGUAAUGUUUGACACCCU